rnacentral:rRNA from 1 species
GGAAUAACAUUUGGAAACGAAUGGUAAUACCACAUAACAUUACGUUCUCGCAUGGGGAUGUAAUCAAAGAUUUAUGCGCUGAGAGAUGGACUCGCGUCCGAUUAGCUAGAUGGUGAGGUAACGGCCCACCAUGGCGACGAUCGGUAGCCGGACUGAGAGGUUGAACGGCCACAUUGGGACUGAGACACGGCCCAGACUCCUACGGGAGGCAGCAGUGGGGAAUAUUGCACAAUGGGGGAAACCCUGAUGCAGCAACGCCGCGUGAAGGAAGACGGUCUUCGGAUUGUAAACUUUUGUUCUUGGUGAAGAAAAAUGACGGUAGCCAAGGAGGAAGCCACGGCUAACUACGUGCCAGCAGCCGCGGUAAUACGUAGGUGGCAAGCGUUGUCCGGAAUUACUGGGUGUAAAGGGAGCGCAGGCGGGAAAUCAAGUUGGAUGUGAAAUGUCGGGGCUUAACCCCGGAACUGCAUCCAAAACUGAUAUUCUUGAGUGAAGUAGAGGUAGGCGGAAUUCCGAGUGUAGCGGUGAAAUGCGUAGAUAUUCGGAGGAACACCAGUGGCGAAGGCGGCCUACUGGGCUUUAACUGACGCUGAGGCUCGAAAGUGUGGGGAGCAAACAGGAUUAGAUACCCUGGUAGUCCACACUGUAA